UAAAGAAAAUGUAAGUUGUGUUUUGUUGGAAUGGGAGAAGUUUGGUACGCUUCUUUGUGGUGUUUUGUUUCACCCACUACCUGUGAACAUGGUCGGCCUGGCGGGUUGUCUAAGCCGGCCCACCAAUGUACUGUGGGUUGUUGUGUUGGGUGGUCCUCUGUGCUACAGACGGAGAAUGUAGGGACGCCCUGGACCUCAUGUCGGUUGGUGUGUUGGUUGGUCCUCCGUGCUACAGGUUAGUUGUGUUUAUUUACCCGCCAUGUGCUGUGAUUAGUAUAAUUUGGUGAAGGUUACAAAUAGAGGAUGUAUUAGUAAGAUAGGGUAAUGUACAAGGGAUAUAUUGUUGCCAGACAGAGUUGUGAGGACGCCCUGGACUGGAUGAUAGUUGGGGUGACAUGUCAGGUGUGCUACGGGGAUUCGAAGAGCGUCAGUGUG